rnacentral:rRNA from 1 species
GAGUUUGAUCCUGGCUCANAACGAACGCUGACGGCGUGCUUAACACAUGCCAAGUCGCACGAGAACUUCCACCUUCGGGUGGAUUAGUAAAGUAGCGCACGGGUGAGUAACGCGUGGAUAAUCUGCCUUCAAGUAGGGGAUAACAUUGCGAAAGCGAUGAUAAUACCGCAUAAGCUCACGAUUUGAUUAGUUGUGGGAAAAGAUGGCCUCUGUAUAUGCUAUCGCUUGAAGAUGAGUCCGCGUACCAUUAGCUUGUUGGUAGGGUAAUGGCCUACCAAGGCUUCGAUGGUUAGCUGGCCUGAGAGGGCGGCCAGCCACACUGGAACUGAGACACGGUCCAGACUCCUACGGGAGGCAGCAGUGGGGAAUAUUGCGCAAUGGGGGAAACCCUGACGCAGCGACGCCGUGUGAGUGAUGAAGGUUUUCGGAUCGUAAAGCUCUGUCGGGUGGGAAGAAUAAAGGCUGUGUAAAUAAUGCAGUCUGAUGACGGUACCACCAAAGGAAGCACCGGCUAACUCCGUGCCAGCAGCCGCGGUAAUACGGAGGGUGCAAGCGUUGUUCGGAAUUAUUGGGCGUAAAGGGCGUGUAGGCGGGUAUGUAGGUCAGGUGUGAAAGCCCUCGGCUCAACCGAGGAAGUGCAUUUGAAACCGCAUGUCUUGAGUACGAGAGAGGCAGAUGGAAUUCCCAGUGUAGAGGUGAAAUUCAUAGAUAUUGGGAAGAACACCGGUGGCGAAGGCGGUCUGCUGGCUCGAUACUGACGCUGAGACGCGAAAGCGUGGGGAGCAAACAGGAU